rnacentral:tRNA from 1 species
GGGGAAGUUCUGGGGAAACGAACCAAGUAAAGUUUUAGAGCCUUUACUUGACAAUGCUUUCACACCUCACCUUUAUAGAUUCGAAAUCUAUUAUGGGCUUAGGUUCAUCGGGGGUUCGAAUCCUCCCCUCUCCG